CUGAUUAACAUGUCAGUACAC
rnacentral:miRNA from 1 species